UCACACGCAACACACACACUGGCACCUAAAACACACACUACACACACCAUUUUCCAUUUAAGCUUGGACGGAGCUUUUGACUUCCGAUUUGAGCACCGAGACGAGCGCCGAUCAUCUUUUCGAUCACGUAUCUAAGUAGGUUGAGCUGAUGUGAUGAUGGUGCUGCAAUGAGCGGAGUCUCCAGGGUUGUUAAUAAAUAGUUAACCUGUCUAGAAUAUGUCUUCAUACAUAUGUCUAGCUACUUUCCGCUGCAAGAUGUUGUUGAUGUUAUAGUAUGUUAUGUCAUACUUUGAGUCUUAAGAGAAUGGUUGCAUAUGAUGUAUAACUUGAUUAAUGAUAUUAAUUAACUUUUAUGCAGUCUUUCAUAGACUGUUUUCAAUUUAGUAUUAAUGAAUAAAAAUGACGAGUUUUAUUAA